AUGAUGAUGACAUGCCGGAUGAAGGCGAAAUCGGUGAGUGUGCCGAAGAUAGGCGAUAAUCAGGAUGAAAGCAUUGCGAAUCUUGAGAUUAGUAAGCGUGAGAAAGCUAGAUUGAAGGAAUUGGAGAGAGUGAGGAAACAAAAGAGGGUGAUGUUGCGGAUGAGAGAAGAAGAUGAUCGUUUCCUUGUUUGUCUCAACCUUAUUUUAUUUCUAUGUUGGAAUUGA